rnacentral:rRNA from 11 species
GGAAAUCACCUAACUGUCCUAAAGGCAUGAGAUCUUGUCUGAUCAUGAAGCUAAGAAGGAUCAGCCCUGGUUUGUACUUUGAUAGGAGGCUGACAACAAAUACCAGGUGCUGUGGGCU